rnacentral:rRNA from 1 species
UCUGUAGCAAUCGGAAGUGGUUCCAAGAAAAGCCUCUAAGCUUCAGUCAUACGAGACCGUACCGCAAACCGACACAGGUGGGCGAGAUGAGUAUUCUAAGGCGCUUGAGAGAACUCGGGAGAAGGAACUCGGCAAAUUGGUACCGUAACUUCGGGAAAAGGUACGCCCCGGUAGCUUGGUCACUUUACUGUGAUAGGGCGAAAGGGUUGCAAUAAACUGGUGGCUGCGACUGUUUAAUAAAAACACAGCACUCUGCAAACACGAAAGUGGACGUAUAGGGUGUGACGCCUGCCCGGUGCUGGAAGAUUAAAUGAUGGGGUGCAAGCUCUUGAUUGAAGUCCCAGUAAACGGCGGCCGUAACUAUAACGGUCCUAAGGUAGCGAAAUUCCUUGUCGGGUAAGUUCCGACCUGCACGAAUGGCGUAACGAUGGCCACACUGUCUCCUCCCGAGACUCAGCGAAGUUGAAGUGUUUGUGAUGAUGCAAUCUACCCGCGGCUAGACGGAAAGACCCCAUGAACCUUUACUGUAGCUUUGCAUUGGACUUUGAAUCAAUCUGUGUAGGAUAGGUGGGAGGCUUUGAAGCGGGAACGCCAGUUCUCGUGGAGCCAACCUUGAAAUACCACCCUGGUUCAUUUGAGGUUCUAACCUUGGCCCGUUAUCCGGGUCGGGGACAGUGCAUGGUAGGCAGUUUGACUGGGGCGGUCUCCUCCUAAAGUGUAACGGAGGAGUUCGAAGGUACGCUAGUUACGGUCGGACAUCGUGACGAUAGUGCAAUGGCAUAAGCGUGCUUAACUGCGAGACUGACAAGUCGAGCAGGUACGAAAGUAGGACAUAGUGAUCCGGUGGUUCUGUAUGGAAGGGCCAUCGCUCAACGGAUAAAAGGUACUCUGGGGAUAACAGGCUGAUUCCUCCCAAGAGUUCAUAUCGACGGGGGAGUUUGGCACCUCGAUGUCGGCUCAUCACAUCCUGGGGCUGUAGCCGGUCCCAAGGGUAUGGCUGUUCGCCAUUUAAAGUGGUACGUGAGCUGGGUUUAAAACGUCGUGAGACAGUUUGGUCCCUAUCUGCCGUGGGCGUUGGAAAUUUGAAGGGGGCUGCUCCUAGUACGAGAGGACCGGAGUGGACGAACCUCUGGUGUACCGGUUGUCACGCCAGUGGCAUUGCCGGGUAGCUAAGUUCGGAAGAGAUAACCGCUGAAAGCAUCUAAGCGGGAAACUUGCCUUGAGAUGAGAUUUCCCAGAGCCUUGAGCUCUUUGAAGGGUCGUUCGAGACCAGGACGUUGAUAGGCUGGGUGUGGAAGUGCAGUAAUGCAUUAAGCUAACCAGUACUAAUUGCCCGUACGGCUUGUCCCU